GUGCUCGCUUCGGCAGCAUAUAUACUAAAAUUAGAAUGAUACAGAGAAGAUUAGCAUGGUCCCUAAAAUAAAAAAAAAUGAGAAAGGCAUUAUGUGUUA
rnacentral:snRNA from 1 species